AGUGAACGCUGGCGGUAGGCCUAACACAUGCCAGUCGAACGGCAGCACAGUAAGAGCUUGCUCUUACGGGUGGCGAGUGGCGGACGGGUGAGGAAUACAUCGGAAUCUACUUUUUCGUGGGGGAUAACGUAGGGAAACUUACGCUAAUACCGCAUACGACCUACGGGUGAAAGCAGGGGAUCUUCGGACCUUGCGCGAUUGAAUGAGCCGAUGUCGGAUUAGCUAGUUGGCGGGGUAAAGGCCCACCAAGGCGACGAUCCGUAGCUGGUCUGAGAGGAUGAUUCGCCCCCACUGAAAUGGGAACACGUUCCGGACUCCAACGGAGGGCGCAGUUGGGAAUUAUGGAACAAGGGGGGCAGGCUUGUCCCAGCCAUACGGGUGGGGUAAAGAAGGCCUUCGGUUUGUAAGGCCUUUUGUUUGGAAAGAAAAGCAGCAGGUUAAUACCCCGCUGUUCUGACGGUACCCAAAGAAUAAGCACCGGCUAACUUCGUG
rnacentral:rRNA from 1 species